GCAAAUGCGUGUUUCCUUUCCGCUUACGGUCGCCCAAAUCAAGCCCAGCCAUAACCAAACCCUAGAUCCAAAAUGGUCCGCCACCGCCAAUGCCAGCGCCGCCGCCUCUCCCCGGCGGCGGAGACCCCGCUGAAUGACGAGGACCCUGCUGCGGGAGAUCCUCCUCUGCCUGCCCCCACAGCCGUCGUCCCUCCCGCGUGCCUCCGCCGUCUGCACUUGCUGGCGCCAUGCCCUCCUCGGCGACGGCUUCCUCCGCCGCUUCCGCGCCCACCACCGGAAACCCGCGCUGCUCGGCUUCUUCCUCCAGGGCCUCAUGAAAUACCCGCCCUCCUUCGUGCCCGCGCUAGACCCGCCCAACCGCGUCCCCGCCACACGGUUCUCCGGGCCCCGGGGCUUCGAGGUGGGCUUUGAGUUCCUCGGCUGCCGCCACGGCCUCGCCCUCUUCCUCGACUGGUCGCGGCGAGUCGUGCUCCUGUGGGACCCCAUCACCGGCCAUGAGCGCCGGGUUUCGUUUCCUCUUCUGCCUGGGUACACGGCGAACAACAUGGUCUGAAAUGUCGCGCUCAUGUGUGCCGACGGCAGAGUUGGCCACGUGCACGGUGCGUGCCUCCAGAGCCCGUUCAAACUAGCCGUGGUAGGUAACGACUCCUCAGGUGCCUUCGCUUGUCUCUAUAACUCGGAAUCCAACGAGUGGGGAAAUGUUAUCUCCAUGGAGGCUUCUCUGAUCAAUUCAAGCAGGCCGGGCAUACUUGUUGGUGAUGCGUUUUUCUGGUUGCUUUGGGAAGGAGGAAUUCUGAAGUUCGAUUUACAAAUGCAGAGUCUUGUUGUGAUAGACCAACCUGUCAAUGCCCAUUUUACCUUCUGUCACAGCUUUCCUUCCAACUUCCAAAUCCUUCGGAGGGAGGGUGGUAGCGUUGGUCAUGCUAUUGUUUCGGAACAUAACAUCCAGCUAUGGGAAAGGAAGCCUAACCAUGAAGCUGUUGUAACAUGGACACUUUGGAAAACCAUUAAAAUGAGCGAAUGGAGGGAAUACCUGCACAGAUACUGAGUUAUGAUGAGGACACUAAUGUGAUUCUUCUAUCUAUGGGAGUCGGUCAUGUGAUGAUUCAACUUGAUUCAAUGAAGUUGAAAAAUAUUUCUAAAAUAGACCACAAGAGGCACGAAGGCUUUAUCUACUAUCCUACACAAAUUUCUUUAUUGCAGGCAGGGGAAUUGGUGGUGGAGAUGGUGGAGCAGAGAUGAUUAAUGAUAUAUAGAUGACUGUGCUACUAGAUCUGCUAGGGUGCUAUGUUGGUUCGACAGGUACCCGUAGUUGUUUUUCUGAACAACAAUGCAUUCUUCACAGCCUCCAUUCUGUGUUUGGUGAUUCUGCACUUCGGAGUGAUCCUGCCAAGAACUGAAACAUGGAGAGGCUUACUCUCAGUAGCGAGCAAGGGGAAAUGAGAUGUAAUUUCGUGAUGCUUAUGGCCGGCGGAUUUUACUAAUAAGGGCUAUGUCUUUGGAUUCUAUGGGCCUGCUGUUUGAAUUCCUAGUUCGAUACUUCCGUGGGAUAUUUAUAGCAAUUCCAUUAGCUUCAUUUGCUAUUUAUGCUGAUGCCAAGGUUCAGUAAUUUUUGUUAUAAAAUGACAUGCUUGAGGGUCUAACUAAUUAGCUUGCAAAAUUGAAUAACAAAAACAGAGGGCAUGCUCAUGCAUCAUCUCAACUUGGAUUAUCAUCCCACAGUAGCCGAUCACUUCUUGUCGACAAUUGAUUUCCUCUGAUACGUGAACAGCUGGUAGAUGGUAUCACUCGCGGAACAAAACUUUCGGUAGCGGAACAAAGCAUAUAUGGAAACAAAAACGAGAAAGCAAAGCCUAGCCACCGAGGAGUUCUCUGAUUCAAUCAUCGAGAUCAUCUGGCUUUUGCAUUAUUUUGGUAUUGUUUUUUGUUGAAGUAUGAAAUGAGGUCUCGAAACAUCCAUGUCCCAGUGUCGCGUUGAUUAAUUGCCUCAUGAGGGCCAGGUCCGCGAGUCCGCGACCCACGAGGCGUUCAAGGAAACUGGAUUCUCAUCCGUGAAGGUUGGCGGUGUAGAGCUAGAAAUGUUAUCUUUCAAGAAUCUUAAUAUGACUUGUAGUUUCAUCCAAGAUUACUUUCUCCUGUCUAGUUCCCGGUUGAUCAAUCCUUAGCGGCAAAGUUCCUGGCGUUGGAUUAUGUGGGCUACGUGUCAGUGAGAGGAAAAAGACUAUUCUACCCUCGAAUUUAGGGAUACCUCGAAUAUAUAUAAGAAAAAAGUAGGCACCCUCGAUUCAAACCCUACCCUAGCUCCUAGGAUCCGCCGCCGCCGCCCAUUCUCCCCAGCCUCGCCGCGGCUGAAACCUCCUGCGGGAAAUCCUCCUCCUCCGGGGCGCCUCCGCCGUCCUCAAGCGCCGGCGCCGCGUCGUCCUCUACGCCGGCUUACUCCGCCGAUUCCGUGCGCGCGCACCAUCCGAAGCCCCCGCCCCUCCGCGCGCUUCUCCGGGCCGAAGAACCUCGACAGGUACAGGAUUUCUCCGGCUACUAUCCGUCACGGUCUCUCGCGAUCUCUUCCUCGAUUGCCACCAGCGCCAGCUGAUAUUCUGUUCUCCGGGCCGAACAACCUUGAUCAGCUCUUCGGCGGUGCAAGUGGUCGUCUUGCGGGAUCCCUCACCGGCCGGCCACCAGAGGCAGUUUCCUUUUCCUCUUCUGCAGUGCUGGGGGUACACGGACGGGGCAACGAUGAAGGUAACUCAGUUGAGAAAUAAGGUUAGGAAAAUGUGUUGCUUAUUGCGUUUGUAAAUUCAGUUCGUGUGGCCAUCAGUUUAUGACAAUGUGUGCAUCCCACUUUUUUUAUGUAUAUAUGUACAGUACUAUAUUUAGCCUCGUCUCAAUUUUUUUACCUGUUCUUAGUGUUAGACUUAAUCUAUGCAACUGCAUCGUAGUUUACUUAGUUCUGCAUGUAGUUUAGGUGUUCUAGGAUUUGUAGGCCGGUGAAGCUGCAGUUGAGUGCUCGGGGAGGUGAGAUGCCAAGCUCCGUCAGAUGCAGAAGCUAAGGGGCGAUGCUGGUGCUGUGCGAAGCAGCAUAGCAAGUCGGCGUCAUGGACAGAUGCCAUGCAUGCCGGUCAUUUAGUUGGCAAGUCUGCCGAUAUGAAGAGAUUCCAGGAGACGUGGGCUUGGUUAAUUAGGGGCAUGAGACCCGGUAGGAUUAGUUAGUUUCCUUCUUUAUAUCAUGUAAUCUUGGUUGUUUUGAGUAACAGAAAUAUAGAAUAGAAAAGAGAAAAGGACGUUGCUGCGUGAGGCAAUACGUCUCCAAAUCUGUGUCUACCUUUCUUCUUACCCGUCUCAACUGAAGGUGAGAGAGAGAGAGAGAGCUGAGAGUUGCUGCAGGAGGCAGCUGCUCGAGGAAGGAGUGGGGACUAACGGCUCCAAUAUUUGCUAUUCUAACAGUUUCUGGUUUUAAGUUACAUCAGAAGACGACGCUGCGAAGGCCGUGAAGCUUACUAAGAAGAUGUAGGCUGCCGACCUGGCCUCUCCUUUGAGGACUCGGCUCACCGGCGGUGGCGACAUCGACGACCUCCGCGUCGUCGAGCGAGUUGAGGUGGAACAGACCGUGUCUGUCUCGACGUUAAGUUGGAAGCCGACCUGACCACUCAAGUUGAUGUUUAUCUCGACAUUGUUGAAACCACGAUGUGUAUUUCUUGAGAAGAAGGCAAGGCAAUGAUUCAAGCCUAGGACAUCAAGUUGAGGUGGAACAGAGAAGAGAAUGUGUCUAGUACAACGACAAUAGAUUGUGUUGUUGGUGGUGACAGAGAGACAUGUGGCGGAGUUGAUUGUUGUUAGUGAUUACAAAACAAAAGGAAAAUAUCGUCAUUCCUCAUGCCAUAAUUGGAAGUCUUUGAUCAGACUAUGUAUGUACGUUUGUUGUUCUGUUGCAACGCACGCGUAGCUUACUAUGUAACAAUGUCCGAUAGUGGAUCAAAACUUCUCUAAAAAGAACAUGGGGGAGAGCAAACCCGAGGCACCGACCGAGGAGUUUUUCGAUUCA